UCCACACUGGCAGAAAGCUGUGUUCUACUCACUGCUGCCUGUUGGAAAAGAGUUUCUUUCUCUUGAGCCUCUUGGCCAUUUCCAAGGGUAGAGGGAGUUACCCAGGUGCUACGGCUAGGAGGGAGGAACUGGACCUUCUAAGUGCUCUUCACAAGCCUCCUGUCUCCAGAUGUGUACACACUUUCCUCUUUCAUGCAGCAAGCUUUGCUGAGGGUGGGAUGGGUGGGCGGAAUACUGAUUGUGGCGAAGUGCUAGGAGGCUGCAGAUACAGACCACUUGCCUCAGAGUCUGUGUGUGUGUGUGGUGGCGGGCGGGGGGACGGGGGUUGGUGUUUUUUUUUUUUUUUUUUUUUUUUUUUUUUUUUGAGACAGUUUUGCUCUUGUCACCCAGGCUGGGUUGCAAUGGUACAAUCUAGGCUCGCUGCAACCUCCGCCUCCCGGGUUCAAGCAAUUCUCAUGCCUCAGCCUCCUGAGUAGUGGGGACUACAGGUACCCGCCACCACGCCUGGCUAGUUUUUGUAUUUUUAGUAGCGAUGGGGUUUCUCCAUGUUGGCCAGGCUGGUCUCGAACUCCUGACCUCAGUUGAUCCACCCGCCUUAUCCUCCCAAAGCACUGGGAUUACAGGUGUGAGUGACCAUACCCAGCCUGGCCUCAGAGCUUUGAAUAAUAGGGAUGAUACCUUGAUUUCUACCCAACUCCUUGUUUCUUAUUCUAAAUUCCUAAACGUAGAGGAUGAAGUAAUGAUGAGUCUGUAUAAACCCUAUAACCCUAUGUGCUGGCCGCUGCCCUCAGGCUGAUAGUGCAGGACAAAGAUCCCUGUUCUCCUAAAAUGUAUUACCUUCUAAUGAAGGACAAAUGCAUGAAUUGCAGCUGUUCUCACAGCUAAAAUGGCAGGUUCGCAAGAGACUAGGACUAUUCUAUUUUUCUAGACUAGCUAUCUUUGAGGUCUGAGAAAAACUUUUUUCUGCACUGCUGGUUUUUCGUCAAGUUUGGGACAUGACAUACCAUGAAAAUGUACCCUUCCUACAUAGUUUUUCGUUUUGUCUUGUUGUUUGUUUUUAACAUUUGUACCACGGGGAGGGAAGAGCAUCAGGAAGGCAACGGACCCGGUCCUGGAGGGCAACCGUGGGGAGUCCCAGGCCCCCGCUGCCUGGUGCAUCACAUCGUGGGUAGGACAGGUGGGAGCGCUGUCUCCCUGCUGAUCUGGGCUCUUAUCUCUAUGAGGAAGGACCCUUUCCUCACCCGUGAGUCAAACGAUAGAGAAUUCACCUCCACCUGCCAGCCACGCUGUAGCUGGGGUGUGUGUGGAGCCGCACAAACUCUGAUGCUUUGAGCUGCAUGGCACAGAACGUCCACCUGAGAUCACUGCGUAGAAGCUUCCUGGGAAGGCAAUUCCAGGGUCAGUGAACCCCGCGGGACGCCAGCUCCCUGGUUGAGUUUCCCCUGAUGGCCGCUGGGUGGCAGCAGAGCGUCAUCUUCCCUGAGACCCUCCCGGGAGCAGGGCGGGCUCCUCCCCGCAUCCCCACUGUGGAUUUUCUCACCGCAGGCACUGCUGACGGUGGGACCGGCCACUUCCACAUCGGGGUCCCGCCUGUGGGCUGUAGGGUGUUCAGUGACGUCCCUGCUUUUACCUGCCAGGUGCCUUCCCUCCCGCAGUUGUGACAACCAAGAAAGUCUUCAGACACAGCCGGAUGUUACCCGGGGCACCAGCCUGAGACCCGCUGGUCCACGGGAAGCAGGGAGCCCUCCCUCACCAGCACACCCAGCGGCCUCCCCUUCCCCUCGCCGGACGCGACUGGCUCACAGGAAAUCCGUGUCAGCCCUGCUCAGAAGGACCACGACUUCAUUUCACAGACACUGCAGUUCUCAAGAAUCCAGGUGGUGGCAGCAGAGAGCUGAGAGAAACCAGCACUUCCCUACCGGCCCUAAGGAAGGUCCGGAAUAAGAAUAUUGACCUUGCCCAGUUGCAGUGAGCAUUUCUGUAUUGCACCAGUCACAGUGGCGAAUGCAGCUAAGGAGAGGCAGGUAGAUGGAGCCACAGAACCAGAUGUGGUCUGGGCAGUGUUUCAUCCCACCAGGAAUGACAGUGCAUCUGCAGCUCCCAGAGGGCUCUCUGACACCCUACCUCCAACUGUGAGCAAUCAUCUUUACCUCCUCAUCCAGAGGAAGGAGGCCAGCGGGAUGCAGAGCCUCAGCAGCUUCAGCCCAGGCUCAGGGCUGAAGUGGAGAAGCAUCCAGGCCAGUUCUGGCAUUGGUGGAACCAGCUGGGCCGGGGGUUGCCCCAGGUAAAAGGAACAGGACCCAUCACUGAGACCACAGGACAGAGAACACUGAGAAUAUAGACUCAGGUGAGAUGCACGGUUGAGGCUCGUUUGGUUUCUGAGAACCAGCAUGUUGGAUUAUACCCAGAAUAACUAAUCCUUUGCCCAAUUUUCCCAUUUUCCCUCCCAGACACAAAAUAGGACUUACUUUCCGGCUCCCUGAAAGCUGGGCAUGGCCAUGUGCCUUGCUGUGGGGGAUGAACCCAGAGCAGAAGAAGUGUGUGUCGCUUCUGGCUGGAGACUUCAAGAGCAGUACACGAUUUGCCAAGUCUCUCUGCCUGGCCACGGCAAAUGGUGAGUCCCAGAGAGUUGACAACGUGGAGCAGAGCUCCCCGCAACCCAUGGCAGGCACGGAACACAAACAAGAUAAAAUGUUGAGUGUUGUGAGCCCCUGACAUGGGGGCUGUUUGCUUGCAGCAUAACCGGUCCUAUCCUGACACACGCUUGGGGUUGGGGGUCACAAACUCAAAUGCCAGGCAGGCGAUGUGAGGGACCACGUGGGAAAGAGUGGGUGAGGACUUGUUCAAACACAGGUGACAGGCUGGGUGUAGCGGCUCACGCCUGUGAUCCCAGCCCUUUGGGAGGCCGAGGCGGGCAGAUCACCUGAGGUCAGAAGUUCGAGACCAGCCUGGCCAACAUGGCGAAACCUCAUCUCUACUAAAAAUACAAAAAUUAGGCCAGAUGCAGUGGCUCACACCUG
rnacentral:lncRNA from 1 species